rnacentral:tmRNA from 1 species
GGGGCUGACCGGUUUUGACAGCAGGCAGAAACUGAUAGUAAGCACGCCGAGCCUUGUGUGGGGGCUCGUUAAAGUGAACACUCAAAAUUCAAAUGGCAAUAACAGCUAUGCACUCGCUGCGUAACCUUACCGAGUAACGUUACCUUAAUCCGCCUGUCUUAGAGACGGGCCGACGAGUAUCCCGCCUGUCGCGUCACCCGCUCCUUGUGGCGCGCGGCUCUCCGGGGUAUCAAAAAAAUGAGGAGAUAGUCGGAUGCGGUGCCUUGAGCGUUCGGCGAAAUUUAUCGAGGCUGGGCUUCGUGGUGGGUUGUUGUCUGCCAGCUGCGGAGAGAAGGAUCAAACGACAACUAAGCGUGUAGAAAGCGUUCGGGGUCACUGUUUGGACGAGGGUUCGACUCCCUCCAGCUCCACUU